GGAGGAGUGCCCGAGUGGUUAAAGGGGACGGACUGUAAAUCCGUUGGCUAUGCCUACAUUGGUUCAAAUCCAAUCUCCUCCACCA
rnacentral:tRNA from 1 species